GAUGAACGCUGGCGGCGUGCCUAAUACAUGCAAGUAGAACGCUGAAGGAAGGAGCUUGCUCUUUCCGGAUGAGUUGCGAACGGGUGAGUAACGCGUAAGUAACCUGCCUGGUAGCGGGGGAUAACUAUUGGAAACGAUAGCUAAUACCGCAUAACAGUAGAUGUUGCAUGACAUCUGCUUGAAAGGGGCAAUUGCUCCACUACCAGAUGGACCUGCGUUGUAUUAGCUAGUUGGUGAGGUAACGGCUCACCAAGGCGACGAUACAUAGCCGACCUGAGAGGGUGAUCGGCCACACUGGGACUGAGACACGGCCCAGACUCCUACGGGAGGCAGCAGUAGGGAAUCUUCGGCAAUGGACGGAAGUCUGACCGAGCAACGCCGCGUGAGUGAAGAAGGUUUUCGGAUCGUAAAGCUCUGUUGUAAGAGAAGAACGAGUGUGAGAGUGGAAAGUUCACACUGUGACGGUAUCUUACCAGAAAGGGACGGCUAACUACGUGCCAGCAGCCGCGGUAAUACGUAGGUCCCGAGCGUUAUCCGGAUUUAUUGGGCGUAAAGCGAGCGCAGGCGGUUAGAUAAGUCUGAAGUUAAAGGCUGUGGCUUAACCAUAGUACGCUUUGGAAACUGUUUAACUUGAGUGCAAGAGGGGAGAGUGGAAUUCCAUGUGUAGCGGUGAAAUGCGUAGAUAUAUGGAGGAACACCGGUGGCGAAAGCGGCUCUCUGGCUUGUACUGACGCUGAGGCUCGAAAGCGUGGGGGAGCAAACAGGAUUGAUACCCUGGGUGUCCAAGGGCGAAUUCCACAGUGUAUAUCAAGCUUUCGAUUCCGUCUGCCUCGGGGGAUGUGCCUGUGACUAAGCUUUUGUUGCUUAUUGGUUUUUAUUAUGUGAAUUGGCUUGUGCUGUUGUGAUGUGUAUGAUGUAUAGUGAUGUUUGUGUGUGUGUGUUGUGUGGUCGUGUUUUCUUCUG
rnacentral:rRNA from 1 species